rnacentral:rRNA from 1 species
UACGGAGGAUCCGAGCGUUAUCCGGAAUUAUUGGGUUUAAAGGGUGCGUAGGCGGCCAUUUAAGUCAGCGGUGAAAUUUUGCAGCUUAACUGUAACAGUGCCGUUGAUACUGUUUGGCUAGGAUUUGGUUGCUGUGGGUGGAAUGUGUGGUGUAGCGGUGAAAUGCUUAGAGAUCACACAGAAUAUCGAUUGCGAAGGCAGCUCACAAAGCCAAGAUUGACGCUGAGGCACGAAAGUGUGGGGAUCAAACAGGAUUA